rnacentral:rRNA from 1 species
GCCUGAUCCAGCAAUGCCGCGUGAGUGAUGAAGGCCUUCGGGUCGUAAAGCUCUUUUACCAGGGAUGAUAAUGACAGUACCUGGAGAAUAAGCUCCGGCUAACUCCGUGCCAGCAGCCGCGGUAAU